rnacentral:tRNA from 3 species
GCCAGAGUAGCUCAGUUGGCAGAGCAGCUCAUUCGUAAUGAGCAGGUCAUCGGUUCGAGUCCGAUCUCUGGCU